AUCAGCAACUCUUAUGAGCAUUUGAUUUGAAAUCAAAUAGUUUGCUUUUAUUAGCAAUGUUGGUU
rnacentral:tRNA from 1 species